rnacentral:rRNA from 1 species
GCUUGUCUCAAAGAUUAAGCCUGCAUGUCUAAGUACAAGCCGUCUUACGGUGAAACCGCGAAUGGCUCAUUAAAUCAGGUAUGGAUCCUUAUAUCGUCCGAUUCCGCCUGGUAUACCGGGGAUUUUUUAGCUGAUAUAUUCUCCAAAACAGCGACCUUCCCGGAAUGGCGGCUUUAUUAGGUCGAACCUUCGUGCGUAUUUGGCGAGCGUAAGAGGAUGAUACCCCAGUAAUCAUCGCCUAUCGCACUGGCUUUGCGCCGACGACGUAUCCUUCAAAUGUCUGCCUUAUCAACUUGUUGGUUGUUUAAUGGACAACCAAGGUGGUAACGGGAUAACAGAGAAUCAGGUUCGAUACCGGAGAGGGAGCACGAGAAACGGCUACCACAUCUAAGGAAGGCAGCAGGCGCGCAAAUUACCCACUCCCGGCACGGGGAGGUAGUGACGAAAAAUAACAAUACGGGACUUUUUAUGGCCCCGUAAUUGGAAUGAGUACACUUUAAAACCNUUAACGAGGACCAAUUGGAGGGCAAGUCUGGUGCCAGCAGCCGCGGUAAUUCCAGCUCCAAUAGCGUUAUAUUAAAGUUGCNGUUAAAAAGCUCGUAGUUGGAUCUGAGGAGUACAGAGGAGAUGCUUUUCGACUCAACAAUGGACUGGUCGUACUGACGGAUCUCGCGNUGUGCCCUUAGGUGGAUGUNUCAGGUGGGCGGAGGGGUUUCCUUUGAAAAAAUUAGAAUUUUCAAANCGGGCAGGUGCCUGAAUAUGGUGCAUGGAUGAUNAAUAGGCCCCCCCGUUCAAGGUUGUUGGUUUUCGGAGCUUAAGGUAAUGAUUAAUAGGGACAGCCGGGGCAUUCGUAUUGCGGGGUUAGAGGUNAAAUUCUUGUCGUCGCAAGACGAACUAUUGCGAAAGCAUUUGCCAAGAAUGUUUUCAUUAAAUCAAGAACGAUCAAGAAGUGCGAAAGCGAUCAGAUACCGCCCUAGUUCUGACCAUAAACGAUGCCAACUGGCGAUUCGUCGCAGUUAUAUAAAAGAUCCCGCCAGCAGUAUUUGCGAAAACAAAAAUUUUGUGUUCCUCCGGAAGUAUUAUUGUUAAGAUGCAACCUAUAAGAGUAGCCGGAAGGGCGCCACCACCAGUGGAGCCUCCGGCUUAUUAUGACUCAACACGGGGAAACUCACCAGGCCCCGAACACUGUUAUUACAGACAGGUUGAGAGUUUUCUCGAUUCAGUGGUUGGUGGUGCAUGGCCGUUCUUAGUUCGUGGAGCGAUCUGUCUGGUUAAUUCCGAUAACGAACGAGACUCUUGCCUGCUAAAUAGACGGCGCCGUUCCUAUCCUGCGACCGCUCGCUUCUAAAGGGACCAAGAAGCUUAAAGGCCGCAUAUGAAGCAGAGAGCAAUAACAGGUCUGUGAUGCUCAGAACAAUUAAAGGCCCCACGCGUUUUACACUGUUUGCAUCAUCAGCGUGUUUCUCCCGCGCCGCCGAUCGGCCGCGGGCAACCCGUUGAACCGCAAACGUGCUAGGGAUCGGAGAUUGCAAUUGUUCUCCGUCAACGAGGAAUUCCUUCUACUGGCGAGUCAUCAGCUCGCGGGGAAUCUGUCCCUGCCCUUUGUACACACCGCCCGUCGCUACUACCGAUUGAGUGGUUUAGUGAGGCUCACGGACUGUGAGCUGGUCAGGCGGCUUCGGCCGUCACAGCCAAUUAACGGAAAAUGUAACAAACUUUAUUACUUCUAAGAAGGUAAAACUCCAACUAGGGUUUUCCUAAUAUAAACCU